GUCAUCGCAAGGUGGGGUCCGAAGGAAGCCCAAUCCAAAGCGGCGGGGCGACGAACAGGAACCCGAUACGAGGUGUGGUACAUCCGGGGCGAGCGGGCACGUGACCGCGAAGCCCUCCUUCUGCGACCGGGAUGUGCUUUAUAAAUUGGGCGCCUACGCCGUGAAAGCUCUGUGU
rfam:Marinobacter sp. T13-3 scaffold_242, whole genome shotgun sequence.